GAUCCCAUUCGUUGACGCCACACAGAUCAUCCACAGACAGCUCCAGGUUGUAAUUGUUCUGCCUAAGGAUUUCCUUGUUCAGAUCAAUCUGCCUAAAGCCCAUUUCCUCCAGCUCCCUCAGCAGCUUCUCUUCAUUGUGACCAUCUAUGUCAAAAGGCUCAGGUGCUGCGGCGCUGGCUGCAGGUGGAGGCACAGGCACAGAAGCAGGGGCAGAUGCAGGUGCGGAUGCAGGGGCAGGCAUAGAAACAGGCACAGUUGUAGGCAGGAUAGGCACAUUAACAGGUGAAGGUCCAACCGGGGCAAGCAGCUCAGGUGCAGGUGCAGGUGCAGGUGCAGGCACACUAACAGAAGGCACAAAAGCAGCAGCAGUGGCACUGGACAUGGGAACAUCAACGACAAGGUUUGCAGGAGCUGCUGCAGGCAUAGAGGUAGCAACUACUAGAGCAGGCUGAGAUUUCUUGGGCUCUGGAACAUCACUCGGAUAGAAGUGGAACUCUUUAGU
rnacentral:lncRNA from 1 species